AGACGCUGGGACCCACGACGACAGAAGGCGCCGAUGGCCGCGCCUGCUGAGCCCUGCGCGGGGCAGGGGGUCUGGAACCAGACAGAGCCUGAACCUGCCGCCACCAGCCUGCUGAGCCUGUGCUUCCUGAGAACAGCAGGGGUCUGGGUACCCCCCAUGUACCUCUGGGUCCUUGGUCCCAUCUACCUCCUCUUCAUCCACCACCAUGGCCGGGGCUACCUCCGGAUGUUCCCCACUCUUCAAAGCCAAGAUGGUGCUUGGAUUCGCCCUCAUAGUCCUGUGUACCUCCAGCGUGGCUGUCGCUCUUUGGAAAAUCCAACAGGGAACGCCUGAGGCCCCAGAAUUCCUCAUUCAUCCUACUGUGUGGCUCACCACGAUGAGCUUCGCAGUGUUCCUGAUUCACACCAAGAGGAAAAAGGGAGUCCAGUCAUCUGGAGUGCUGUUUGGUUACUGGCUUCUCUGCUUUGUCUUGCCAGCUACCAACGCUGCCCAGCAGGCCUCCGGAGCGAACCCCUGUCCAGAGACUGGGGCAGCCUUCCCCUCCAAAGCCACGUUCUGGUGGGUUUCUGGCCUGGUCUGGAGGGGAUACAGGAGGCCACUGAGACCAAAAGACCUCUGGUCGCUUGGGAGAGAAAACUCCUCAGAAGAACUUGUUUCCCGGCUUGAAAAGGAGUGGAUGAGGAACCGCAGUGCAGCCCGGGGGCACAACAAGGCAAUAGCAUUUAAAAGGAAAGGCGGCAGUGGCAUGGAGGCUCCAGAGACUGAGCCCUUCCUACGGCAAGAAGGGAGCCAGUGGCGCCCACUGCUGAAGGCCAUCUGGCAGGUGUUCCAUUCUACCUUCCUCCUGGGGACCCUCAGCCUCGUCAUCAGUGAUGUCUUCAGGUUCACUGUCCCCAAGCUGCUCAGCCUUUUCCUGGAGUUUAUUGGUGAUCCCAAGCCUCCAGCCUGGAAGGGCUACCUCCUCGCCGUGCUGAUGUUCCUCUCGGCCUGCCUGCAAACGCUGUUUGAGCAGCAGAACAUGUACAGGCUCAAGGUGCUGUAGAUGAGGCUGCGGUCGGCCAUCACUGGCCUGGUGUACAGAAAGGCAUCCACAGCAUAUCUGAAGAAAUAUUCAGAAGUUAACUAAUCUCAGAUGAUUUCAGCAGGAGUAAAGAAGAGAAACAGACUCAGAAAUGCCAUUACAACAGUUAAUUAUGUCAAAUUUAUCACCCUGAUUGAUCACGCAGCAUUAACCUCAAGAACGCCAAGCCAAGUUUUUUUGACAAAUGUGAGCCAAGGUUUCCGAAAAACUAGCAGAUAUGACUGUGACUUACAAAAUGGAAAAAGUAAACGAGAAACACAAUUUGAUAUGAUUUAAUAAAAGAUUUGUUUCCACCACUUCUCCUGGGAACCUCAGCACAUUUUCUUUCCACUGACAGUUAUUAUCUCUACCUUUAUUGAACAAAGACACCCGGAACACAGCUGCUGAGGAUCAGUAAAGAAAAUCAUUCUUUUAUUAAUAAGACUGUUAUUAGCAGGAAAAAAAAAUCCAUGUUUGGGAGUUUGCACUGAAGUUACAGGCCAUUUUGAAGAAAUAUGGCUGACUAGUGCCAACAUUAUUUCAGGCAAUUUCAUGAUCAAAUGUCUUAUUAGGUUGUUUAAAAUUUUUAUAGAGAUUGUAAAUCAGAACUAUUUUCUAUUUGCCCUAAAUAUUUAGAUGCUACAGGGAAAGCAGAUCAAAUUAAAGGGUACUGUGCACAUUUUUUUACUGGGAACUCCCAGGGAUAUAAAUCAUUUCGCCUGCAGCAUGGAAUUCUUCAGUACACAUGCUUGUGGAAACAUUCCACGCUCCGCCAGCACGCUCAUUAAAGUGAUGAUUUGGGUUGCAACAACAGUGCCAAGUACUUCCUGUGUUCAACUGGGGACCAUGUGGCAAGACCCAAAGCUUCCCCAGAGAUCCUAUGGGAAUAAGUUUUUUGAGCCACCAUAUUCCAUUAUUUCAGCCUAAAAUAACACCAUGGGACAAGAAUCAGAAGACAGAGGAGCAGACAAAUGUGUGUAGACAUGCUGGAAGGAAUCUUUCUUUUUAGAAACAGGGUCAAUAUCUAUUAAACUUUAAGAUGUGUAUCUCUUGACCUGGCAGUUUCUGUAUUUGAGUUUUAACCUACUGAUAUACCCAUGCAUGUGAAUAAAGUAUCUUCCUGCAUGUAACAGGAUAUUUAAUGUAACCUUGAUUAUAGUUGCAAAUGCUGGGAAACGAUCCAAAUGUCUUUCAAUAUGGCACUGAUUAAAUAAAUUAUGGCACAGUCUCACAAUGAAAAACAAAUGUAGCCAUUAAACAGAAUGAAAUGGGUCUAGCUAAAUUGAAAUAGGACUACCUCUAAGAUAUGUUGUUAAAAAGAAAAAAAAGAAAGUGCAGAGGAACAAGUAUGAUACCAUUUUGUAUUUUUUAACAUAUGCAAGCGUGAUUGUGCCCACACAGAAUACCUUUGAAAAUAAACUCAGUAUUUGCCUCAGUGGAUAAAAACAAGAACCAGCCUUAUUUUCACUGUUAUAUCUUUUGGUGCCACUUUUUGAACUUUUUACCAUAUGUGCAUAUGUAACUUUCUAAAUAAAUUUUGUAAAAAAGAGAAA
ensembl:lncRNA ABCC6P1 ATP binding cassette subfamily C member 6 pseudogene 1